UCAUUUUACUAAUUUAUAACAUACCUUCCCAUGACGAGCUGAUCAUAGUUCAUGCAUUGUUCACAACCGAAGACCAUGGAAGCCACCACUCUCCGUCACUCACUUCCCUUCUCCUUCACUUAUCAUUCACACCUAACUUCCAAAUUACUACCACAAAAACCUUUCCUUUCUUCCAAUUUCCCCUCUUUCUUCCUCCCAGGUCCUCCGAUUUCCAUCACCGACGCCACCAACCACCACCACAGCUGUCAUCAAAAUCACCAUCACGGAGGCCAUAAUUCGCAACUGACUGGACCCCAAAGAGCUCUUUAAAAUUUGCAAAAACAAUAGGAUGGAUGGACUUGGCGAAUUUGUUUAGAGAAAACUUGCAGCUCUGCUGUCGUUCCGCCUCUCUCUCUUUAUCACUGCCUCUGCCUGCUCUUGUAUGAUUCCGAAACCUGCAGUCAAGCCCCCUCAAAAUGCGUUCAUGCUAGUUGCCUUCUCUCUUGUUGGCUGAAGAGUUCUUUACCAAUCGGUCAGUGAUUGAUGAUGUUAAAGAGUUGAAGGAAAAUUAUCCGGAUUCUGCGCUUGUGUUGGAUGUAAAUGAUGACAAGCUGCCGGAUGUUUCUCAUUUGUCGUAUAAAAAAGUGUACCUGUGCAUGAUAUAGAAGUGGGAUCCUAUAUUUUGGUCGGAGUUGGUGUGGUCUUUUUGAAGUUAUUUAACUUUCUCUUUGCUCAAUAUUUUAAUUUAGUUUUGAUAUUGGUAAUGUCAUGAAAUCUCGGCUGAAAGCACAGCAUAUUAUGGCCUGUUAUUGGAUGUCAAUAUGUGAUUUAAAGCUUUUAAAGGCUUCAUGGCAUUUCAAGAUUGCAUAUACCCUUCAACUCAAGUGUUCAUGAGUUUAGGCUGUAUUAGGACGAGUCUCUAUGUUAGUUAUAAUAUCAAUGUCAACAAACAUCAGAAGGUUUCCUCCUUACCUGAAAGUUCUGUUUCUAAAUUCAUUGUCUAGGUAGGCCAGAACUUUUUUUGCUUAAGCCUUUGUAGUCAUCUAAAAAAUAAGUUCAAUGUUCAGGGGCAGUUAGUGGUUAUAGCCACAUUUCAAUGGUUAGCUAGCUAACUAUCCAGUGGAAGUUUUAGCAUUAUGAGUUGUAACAAGCUAAUACUCUGACUAAUAUGACAUUCCAUUUUAGUUAUGAGAUGGCUAUAUUCAUUUUGUUUAUCUUGAUUUAUCAAGUAAUGCUUGUUAUGGAAGUUUUAUCCAGUAAGCGAAAGCUUCAAAGGUGUCUGGAUGAAUUUGGUGAGCAUUACAGCAAAUUGGUUGUAGGUUUGGCAGUUGCCAUCGCUCUACUCGAACCAUUUCUUUUCGAGUGGCCAUUCAUGAUCACACCAGGAGGGGGUCUGGUCAUGGUCGGAAGGUAUUAAUUAUGCACCAGCUCUUGCUGCUGCAACUGUCGGGAUUGUGCUUGCUCAACAGGCCACUGCAACUGCCAUAGCUGUUGCUUGUGUCCUUACUGCUAAGGGAUGCCAUACCUGGUGUUACAUCCUGUAUUUUAUCAAGUCUCGCCAAAGAACUUCCCUGUUCGAGCAAAAUGCAGCCCCCGCAUUAACCUCUAUAUUUCUGGCCUUCCUUCCAUCCAUUUUGAAUUUCCUUCCUCUCUGGUCAACGGACGGUGCAGCUAAAGCUAUCUCCAUUUGUUGCUCAAGUUUCUGUUCAUUUUUGCAGUUUUGAGAUAGCUUCACUUUCUAGCUCGUAGUUUAAUACUAUUUAUCAAAAGAAACAGAAAAGUUCGUUUAUUGCUUAUUUUCAUUAG